GGUGAACGCUGGCGGCGUGCUUAACACAUGCAAGUCGAACGGAAAGGCCCAAGCUUGCUUGGGUACUCGAGUGGCGAACGGGUGAGUAACACGUGGGUGAUCUGCCCUGCACUUCGGGAUAAGCCUGGGAAACUGGGUCUAAUACCGGAUAGGACCACAUUUUGGAUGGUGUGGUGGAAAGUUUUUCGGUGUGGGAGGAGCUCGUGGCCUAUCAGCUUGUUGGUGGGGUAAUGGCCUACCAAGCCGUCGACGGGUAGCCGGCGUGAGAGGGUGUACGGCCACAUUGGGACUGAGAUACGGCCCAGACUCCUACGGGAGGCAGCAGUGGGGAGUAUUGCACAAUGGGCGCAAGCCUGAUGCAGCGACGCCGCGUGGGGGAUGACGGCCUUCGGGUUGUAAACUCCUUUCGCUAGGGACGAAGCGCAAGUGACGGUACCUGGAGAAGAAGCACCGGCUAACUACGUG
rnacentral:rRNA from 1 species